rnacentral:lncRNA from 1 species
UCGGAAUACAUCAAAAAUCAUUCAAAAAAUAAAAAAUGGAGGCUAGGCUUGAACAAUCGAUAAGCUCCAUAUGUAUAGCCGAUUAGCUCAACGUAGAGCCAAUUAGCUCUGCACUGAGCUGAUUGACUCUAAGGUUCCAAGCUAGUUUUUGUCGAUUCGUCAGUACAUUUUUUCCUCCUUAGAGCCGAAUUUCACAUGCACAUAUAGUAAAAUUAAUUAGAAUAUGAAAUAAAAUGAAAGAAAUAACCAAGUAAAAAUAAUAGGAAUUAAUUGGAUGAUCGAGAAACCCUAAAACUAAUAAAAAAAACUCCAAAAUUGAAAGUACAAUAAUGAAAUAAAUGGAAAAUCAAUCAUGUGAUCAUAUUAAACAUAUUUAAUUACCUAAUCAUAAUGGAAAAAUAGAUAUAAACAUUCAUCCUAUGACAUGUUUCUAAUUAGAUCCAAAAUCCUAAUUGGCAAAAUAUCAUAUUUCAAAAUGCUAGAGUUCUUAUUAUCAUAUUCAAAACCCAAUAAUCAUGCAUAUCCAUAAAAACCAUAACCUAAUCAUAUUGAUCAUAAAUCAUAAAUCAUAAUCCUAAUCAUGUUUCAAAAAGAAAAUAACAAAAGAAAUAAAAAGGAAAGAACCAAUUUCUAGUAUGAUGACGGAUACAUGAUUGAAGGAACCCUCAGGUUAUCACUGUAGUUGAUAGAUCUAUGAGUCUCGGGUGAUGAGGAUGCAGUUGAGUCAAAGACUGGAUAAGAAUCUAGUGUUAAAUCUAGUGUAGAGAAAUCUCCGAGCGAUUUACAAAUCGAUUUCCAAAAACGAUUAUUUCUUCAGUGGCUUGUUUCCAAAAAUUAUUCUUUCUUAAUGGCUUGAGUCUUCUGUUGUCAAAUAAGAACGAUAGUCUUUUUCUUUCUUUUCUCUCUAGUUUUUCUCUAUGUAUUUUCUCUCUAUGCUUUUCAAAGUAUCGAUAUCAUUUAUUGCCAAAUCUUAGUUCUUCAUUUAUUUCCCCUAAUCCUAAUUCCCCUUUUUAUUUAUAGAGGUAGGGUUUCAUACAAAUUUAUUUUUAAAAUUUAAUUAGUUAUCAAUAAAAAUGAUGAUUAUCGUCAAGAAAAUCUUCUAGAAUCUGUAUCUGGACGUACAAUCAUCAAGAAGAAUGAUGUCAGAGUGCAAAAACUCAAUUAGCUCUAUGUAGAGGAAGUUUUAAAAUUAUAAUUAGGUCCAUAAACUUAUGAAAAAUGUCGUUUUGACCCUCAAAAUUUAUUUUUUUAAUAAUUUAAUCCAAAUUGAUUUUAAAAAGGUAAUUCCAAUUGGAUUAAUGUCAACCCUAGCAUCGGAUUCACCUAUCCUUCAUAUUUCGAGACCCAAUAAGGCAAUAACUUUCAUCAUAGGGUUUUAUGUCUUUCCGUUGAUAUCUAGAUCUAGAAAAGGGGUGCUGACAGUUGUUUCGGUUUGUCAAAAUUUAUAAACAUGUAAAUGCAUUAAAUAAAUUGAGACAAAUCAUAAACAUUUAGGAUAUAUUAAAAGAAUAUGUGAGUUGUGUAGCCACGCCUUGUAAGCUCAAACUUUGAUCGCUGAUUUGAUGUGGGGGCCACCCUCGCUUAGGUUAAGGACUUCGCCUGCUUAGAUUGAGGACUUCGCCUACUUGGGUUGAGGACUUCACCUGUUUAGAUUGAGGACUUCGCAUGCUUUUCAAGGAACUAUGCCCAUUGAUUUAGGAUCCACGCCUAUUAGAUUGUGAGCUAUGCCUGUUGAAUUGGUUAUUUUAGAGACUUCUCUCUAGCUAUCUUCUAUUCUAGGAACCAAUUUGCCACUUCAGGUCAAUUUGAUAAUUUUUCAGUUUCGGGUACUUAGUUUGAGAUUUUCUGCCUCGGGGCACAAUCUGAUUUGUUUUGAUGCUUUCUGAAUGUUGUACUGGUGUUUGGCCCAUCCAAGGACUAAAAUAUAAUUUUGCUGGGCCAGAGACCAAACUUGUAAUUUUCUCAGAAAAUCCCCUUUAAGGUGGCCUUCUAUAUAUCUCUUAUGAGGACUUAUACUGACUUCUUGGACUAAAACUUGAUUUUGACAGGUCAGGGCCCUAAAUGACAUUUUUGCUCCUUCCCUAAGACAUAUAUAUAGGCUUAUAUCUACAUCUCCUUCAUUUUACCCAUUUUUCUUAGUUUUCUCUCUAAAGCUUUCUUUGCUCUUUCUUUGAUUUCUCACUCAAUCCUUAACUGCUUUUCACAAAAUCAGUCUUAAAAUGGCAAGCUCAUCUUCUAGAUUCACUGGAUGCACCACGAUUGCAUAGAUUGGAAGCUUGCUGCCCUAAUUUCUUGCCAAAAUGAUCUUGGGCUUGUGAUGGGGAGGAGAUUUGUUAAGACCUCUUUCCGGAUCUAUAUAUCGAGGAAAAAACGGAAAACCCUAUGAUGAGAGUUGCUUUUUUCUCAAGUCUCGGAAGGUAAGGACAGAAGACUCCGAGGCUGGGGUGAACAUUAGUCCAGCUGGAAUUAUCUUUUUGAAAUCAAUUUGGACCUAAUUAUCAGAAAAAAUUAAGUUUGAGGGUCAAAAUGAUAAUCUUUAUACAAUCAGGGACUAAAAUGCAAAUUUUAAAACUUCCUCUGUAGAGUCGACAGCUAAUAAGUUCUUUAUAGAAGCGAUUGAAUUUUGACUCCCGACAUUAUUCUUUCGGGCGAUUUUACGUCCAAAUACAAAUUCUAGAAGGUCUCUUUGACGAUAAUCAUUGUUUUCUCGACAAUUAUAUAAAUAAAUAGGAUAUUUAUCGAUAUUUCCUAAAAUUUAUCCCUUUCUCUAAGGUUUUCUUUGAAAUUCUACCUCUAUGAAUAGUAAGAGAUGUUUAAGGUUUCAAAGGAGGAAGGAAGAAUUGAUAUUCGACCAUAAGUGAAAUCAAGAGAAAAGAAACACUGAGAAAGAAAGAAAAAAGAAAAUAUGCCCAAUUGUUUACAUUUUUAUGCAUAGUUAUAUUGCUUUAUACCAGAAUCACCUGUGUUUUAGUUCCUUUCAUGUUGUAGGUCAUUAUCGAGGGACAUUAUCAGUAAUCGAGGGAAAUACGAGCAAUUACGGACCAGAAUCCAUCAAAUUGAGCAAGGACUAGCAUUCUAAGGUUGAGCACGGCCUGGAUUCCGGCUGUGCUGAACCAUCAAAUAGUUGCCCUUCAAGAGUGCCAUUUUGGCACGAUUUCCGAAGCCACCGCGGCCUCCACCACGGCUCGUGGUGACUCAGCACCGGCUAGGGCAUGGCCAGUAGGAAGUCGCGAGUUGCAGAACGCGGAGGUCCAGCAUGGCUUGGACUCCGCCCGUGCUGAUCAGCACAGGCUUAACCACGGUCGUGCUGAGACAUUUAUAUAGGUAAAAACAAUUUGCUGAAUAAGGGUUCAAUUUUCUGACUUGAUUUCACAUACAAGCUUAAGCCAUCUUCUUCCAGACUUUAAUACUCGAUCUUAGAAGACCAUUUCAUCUAUUGGAGGAAGAAUUACAAUUGUUUUAACAUCAAAUUGAAGAUCAAGACAAGAUUUGGAAGCAUUCAAGAGGCAAAUUAGGAUUUAUCAUUCUGAAUUAGGAAUUUAGGAUUUUUCAUCCAACUUGAAAAAGAAGGGUGUACAUGCCUUCAAUUUACUUUUCUGAAUCUAUUCUUUACUUUGUGUUUCUUAUUAGUAUGAGUAACUAAAUUUAUCAAAUCUAUUGGGGUUCCUAUAUUGUUGGAUUGAUUUUAAUGCUUAUGAGAUUUUGAUUAUUAAUGCUUGUCUCUUCUUGCUUUCAUUAUUAAUGAGAAAUCACUUUAUUCAUGAGACGUUGUGAGUUGUGGUAUUCAAAUUGCUUUAUGUAAUUGAGAAAUUCAUUUAGUAAUUGAAAAUUUGAAUAGCAAGAACUGGUUAAUGAUCACUUAGAGAUAAAGGUAAUUGACUAGCCAGAUUAAGAAUUAACAAAGCUUAAUAGAGGCGGGUUAAAGCUUAAUGCUAAUCGAAUAAUCGAUCAUUUGGAAGAGAUUCCAACUUUAGGUUAUUAGGUUUGGGAACUCGGUUAUUUCGAGAGGGAGACCAAAUUCAUUUAAGAAUUCGUCCAUGGGUAAUUGAAAUUGGUAAUCAAUAUAAUCUCUAUCUUCACUAAAAUCCAACUAGCUUAGGUCCCCUAGGGUUUGCUUUUUUCCUUCGAUUGUUUUCCUAAAUCCUUUCAGAUUAUUUGACACUUAGUUAAUCGUUUGUUCAUAUUUAAUCAUAAUAUAAUAACUUCAUCGAUUUUGUUAAGGUUAGAUAACAUAAAACGCUGCAGUAGUUCUAGGAUCACCUUUUCCCGAGAAUACGACCUUGAUACUCACCAUUUGUGCUAGUCUGCAUCGAUAGGUUCACUGCCUUAGAUUUUGGCUACACAAAUAGCAUAUCACCACUUAAGAAAUAGUGAUUUUAGGAAAUAAGUCACUUGAGAAAGAACAUAUUUGGAAACCCCUCUCUUCAAUCGACAAAGGAUUUCACAAAGCGAGAUCCAGCACUAGAUUCCUACCCAGUUUUUAAUUCAACUGCCUUCUUAUCGCUCGAGACUCAUAAAUCUAACAUCCACGGUGACAACUUGAGGGCUUCUUCCACCAUACAUCUCCAUUAGUGAUAAAAAUCAAUUUUUUCAUUUCUUUUAUUUUUUAUAUUAUUUUUUCUUAGAAGCAUGAUUAUUGUUUUGAUUUUUGAUAAAUAUGGUUAUAUUAGGUCUUUAUUAAUAUGCAUAACAAUAGGAUUUUGAAUAUGAUAUUAAGAACUAGGUUUUCUUAGAUCUGAUGUUUUGCCAAUUAGGCUUUAAAUUUGAUUAAGAUACAUGUUAUAGGGUUAAUAUUUAGAUCUAUUUCUUAAUAUGACUAUGUAAUUAAGCUUAAAUAAAAUAUUAUUCUUUUUUUUUUGACAACCUUCUGAUAGUUUUUGAGAUUUAGGGUUUUCUUUUUUGCUUCUAUAACACUUAUUUUGUUAUUUAUAUCUGUUUUAUCUCAUUCUAAUUAAUUUUAACACCUGUGCAUGUGAAAAUUGGCUCUAGAAUGUGAGUUGUACUGGCGAACAAAGAAAAACAACAGAGACUUACCUUAAGACUCUAGAGCCUAUCGGCUCAAUGUAGAGCCAAUUAGCUCUAUAUUGAGUCGAUCGGCUCUUCAUACAUAGCCGAUUAGUUGACCAAGCUGGACACUAUUCUUUCAUAUUUUUGGCGUAUUUCAAUGUAUUCUCAACCUCUCUAUAAUAUUAGUUUUCUCCGGUUUUGCAAUCGUAGUUAUAAGCAGGUUGUAAUAGCUAGGGUUUUAUGUUUUGCUUUAUUUUCUUUAUUUUUUAGUUUAUUCUAUGUUAACCUAAUACAUGAUUAAGUGACUAAUAAAUAAAAAUGGGACACAUAGACUUAGGCUAAAAUACUGAUCCAACAUGAAUUUGAUAGUCUAAUAAGCUAAUCCACUUUAACUAGGCCUAAACCCUAAAAUCCAAUCAGACUAGUAGGCUUUGGUAUGUUUAGUUAGGGUUUGGACUUAGUUAGGGUUGAGAUCACAAUGAAUGAGCCUUCUCAUAAUAAGUAGUCCAUUAGGCUUAAAGGCGGGAAUCCAAAAAGUAUAACAUGUAAUUAGACUAGAAUAGGUGGGCCUUUUACAUAAUUGGUUAGUAACUUAGAUUAGUAACUAUCCUGCCUCAACUCCUCUUGUGGUGGUACAUCUACAAUAUUCUGCCCAACCUCCUUUUGCAUCAAAUCUUCAUUAUAUCUAGCAUAUAAAUGGAUUAUCUUGGAUUCAUGAACAAACAUGGACAUCUUAAUCACAUCAUUAUCAAUUUCUAGGUUUUUCAAGCCAUCAUUCAUGCUUUUCUUUGAAUGCUUCCACAGAAUGACAAUAUAUUCAGGUACCAAUCCUGAUUCCCUUGGCAUAGCAUCUAUUUCCAAUUUUGAGAUCUUAUCAGAUGAACAAAAAUCAAUCUCACUCACAUCACAAAUAUUAGGUUUGCCUUUAGCAUCUACCCCAAAUACAUGCCAUAUAAUAGUAAAAUACUCUACAUUAAGCACUGAAAUAUAAUAGAACAAACACAUAAUUAACAACCAAUAGACAGAGCUUUAAAACUUCUUCAAAUCACUAAUCUUUUCUGUAGUUACAAACAAAAUUGCUACCUAGAACCAUUGUUACCAUCUUUAUUAACAUAUAUUCAAUUACAUAUUACAACGAAUUAAAUCAGUUAUAACCAUUUAAAGUUCAAAUUUUUAUUUUGAAAACUUACAGUAUUGAGGUUUCUCUUCUCCUUCCUCCCUCUGAAACCAAUCAAACGUCAUUGUCUACUUCAGACUUGAAGAACUAGAAAGUGAUGAAAAAUGAUAGAAAAUGGUUAAAAAGAAGCGCUGCUUAUCAAUGACUAUGGUAGAAAAAGC